rnacentral:rRNA from 1 species
GAUGAACGCUAGCUACAGGCUUAACACAUGCAAGUCGAGGGGAAACGACAUUGAAGCUUGCUUCGAUGGUCGUCGACCGGCGCACGGGUGAGUAACGCGUAUCCAACCUGCCUCUGACCAAGGGAUAACCCGUCGAAAGUCGGCCUAAUACCUUAUGCAGUCGUCGGAAGUCAUCUGAUGACGACGAAAGAUUUCAUCGGUGAGAGAUGGGGAUGCGUCUGAUUAGCUUGUUGGCGGGGUAACGGCCCACCAAGGCAACGAUCAGUAGGGGUUCUGAGAGGAAGGUCCCCCACAGUGGAACUGAGACACGGGCCAAACUCCUACGGGAGGCAGCAGUAAGGAAUAUUGGUCAAUGGGCGAGAGCCUGAACCAGCCAAGUAGCGUGCAGGAUGACGGCCCUAUGGGUUGUAAACUGCUUUUAUGCGGGGAUAAAGUGAGGGACGUGUCCUUCAUUGCAGGUACCGCAUGAAUAAGGACCGGCUAAUUACGUG